rnacentral:rRNA from 1 species
CUUUAUAUUAUUUGUGAUAAAAAGGCCUGAGUAGUAUUAGUUACUAUCUUAAAACUCAAAGAAUUUGGCGGUGUUGCAGUCCUUUUAGAGGAAUCUGUUCUGUAAUUGAUAACACACAAUUAGUUGUACUUUAUUUUGUGAUCAGCUUAUAUACCGCCGUCGUAAGAUUAUCUUGUGGAGGGAUUGAAAUUUCUUUAUUCAUGAUUAUGAGUUAUGUCAGGUCAAGGUGUAGUUUAUGAUAAAGAAGAGAUGGAUUACAAUAAUAAUAGUUAAAUGGAUGAUUUGAUUAAGGAGGAGAUGAAAAUUUGAAGGUGGAUUUAAAUGUAAUUUCUUCUAAAUUGGGGUUUUGAUUUUGGCUCUGUAAUGUGUACAUAUCGCCCGUCGCUCUCGUUAUAAUAUGAG